rnacentral:rRNA from 1 species
UGGGGAAUUUUGCGCAAUGGGCGAAAGCCUGACGCAGCAACGCCGCGUGGAGGAUGAAGGUCUUUGGAUUGUAAACUCCUGUCAGCAGGGAAGAAGGCUACUGACCUCAUACGUCAGUAGAUUGACUGUACCUGCAGAGGAAGCCCCGGCUAACUCUGUGCCAGCAGCCGCGGUAAUACAGAGGGGGCGAGCGUUAUUCGGAAUUAUUGGGCGUAAAGGGCGCGUAGGCGGCUUGGCAAGUGGAAGGUGAAAUCCCUCGGCUCAACUGAGGAACUGCCUUCCAAACUGCUUUGCUUGAGGCCGGGAGAGGUGAGUGGAAUUCCCAGUGUAGCGGUGAAAUGCGUAGAUAUUGGGAGGAACACCAGUGGCGAAGGCGGCUCACUGGACCGGUUCUGACGCUGAUGCGCGAAAGCGUGGGGAGCAAACGGGAUUAGAUACCCCCGUAGUCC